UAAUACGGAGGGUGCAAGCGUUAUCCGGAUUUAUUGGGUUUAAAGGGUCCGUAGGCGGACUUAUAAGUCAGUGGUGAAAUCCUGUCGCUUAACGAUAGAACUGCCAUUGAUACUGUAAGUCUUGAGUAUAUUUGAGGUAGCUGGAAUAAGUAGUGUAGCGGUGAAAUGCAUAGAUAUUACUUAGAACACCAAUUGCGAAGGCAGGUUACCAAGAUAUAACUGACGCUGAGGGACGAAAGCGUGGGUAGCGAACAGG
rnacentral:rRNA from 1 species